rnacentral:rRNA from 1 species
UAAUGGGUCAGCGACUUAUAUUCAGUGGCAAGGUUAACCAUCUAGGGGAGCCGUAGGGAAACCGAGUCUUAACUGGGCGUUCAGUCUCUGGAUAUAGACCCGAAACCAGGUGAUCUAGCCAUGGGCAGGUUGAAGGUUGAGUAACAUCAACUGGAGGACCGAACCGACUAAUGUUGAAAAAUUAGCGGAUGACUUGUGGCUAGGGGUGAAAGGCCAAUCAAACCUGGAGAUAGCUGGUUCUCCCCGAAAGCUAUUUAGGUAGCGCCUCGGACGAAUACUACUGGGGGUAGAGCACUGUUAAGGCUAGGGGGUCAUCCCGACUUACCAACCCUUUGCAAACUCCGAAUACCAGUAAGUACUAUCCGGGAGACACACGGCGGGUGCUAACGUCCGUCGUGGAGAGGGAAACAACCCAGACCGCCAGCUAAGGUCCCAAAUUACUACUAAGUGGGAAACGAUGUGGGAAGGCUCAGACAGCCAGGAUGUUGGCUUAGAAGCAGCCAUCAUUUAAAGAAAGCGUAAUAGCUCACUGGUCGAGUCGGCCUGCGCGGAAGAUGUAACGGGGCUAAGUAGUAAACCGAAGCUGCGGCAAUGCACUUUAGUGCAUUGGGUAGGGGAGCGUUCUGUAAGCGGUUGAAGGUGUGUGGUAACGCAUGCUGGACGUAUCAGAAGUGCGAAUGCUGACAUGAGUAACGAUAAAGGGGGUGAAAAACCUCCUCGCCGGAAGACCAAGGGUUCCUGUCCAACGUUAAUCGGGGCAGGGUAAGUCGACCCCUAAGGCGAGGCCGAAAGGCGUAGUCGAUGGGAAACGGGUUAAUAUUCCCGUACUUCUUACAAUUGCGAUGGGGGGACGGAGAAGGCUAGGUGGGCCUGGCGACGGUUGU